GACGAACGCUGGCGGCGUGCCUAAUACAUGCAAGUUGAGCGAUGAAGAUUGGUGCUUGCACCAAUUUGAAGAGCAGCGAACGGGUGAGUAACGCGUGGGGAAUCUGCCUUUGAGCGGGGGACAACAUUUGGAAACGAAUGCUAAUACCGCAUAACAACUUUAAACAUAAGUUUUAAGUUUGAAAGAUGCAAUUGCAUCACUCAAAGAUGAUCCCGCGUUGUAUUAGCUAGUUGGUGAGGUAAAGGCUCACCAAGGCGAUGAUACAUAGCCGACCUGAGAGGGUGAUCGGCCACAUUGGGACUGAGACACGGCCCAAACUCCUACGGGAGGCAGCAGUAGGGAAUCUUCGGCAAUGGACGAAAGGCUGGCCGAGCAACGCCGCGUGAGUGAAGAAGGGUUUCGGAUCGUAAAACUCUGUUGGUAGAGAAGAACGUUGGUGAGAGUGGAAAGCUCAUCAAGUGACGGUAACUACCCAGAAAGGGACGGCUAACUACGUG
rnacentral:rRNA from 1 species